UAAAGGGGUACGCGAGCUGGGUUCAGAACGUCGUGGGACAGUUCGGUCCCUAUCCGGCGCAGGCGUAGGAAAUUUGAGAAGACCGGUCCUUAGUACGAGAGGACCGGGAUGGACGUACCUCUGGUGUACCAGUUGUCCGGCCAAGGGCAUGGCUGGGUAGCUAUGUACGGAAUGGAUAAGCGCUGAAAGCAUCUAAGCGCGAAGCCAACUUCAAGAUAAGAUUUCCCACCGCAAGGGUAAGACCCCAGAAAGACUA
rnacentral:rRNA from 1 species